CCCUUAGAUGUUCUGGGCCGCACGCGCGCUACACUGACAGAGCCAACGAGUUUAUCACCUUGGCCGAAAGGUCCGGGUAAUCUUGUUAAACUCUGUCGUGCUGGGGAUAGAGCAUUGCAAUUAUUGCUCUUCAACGAGGAAUGCCUAGUAAGCGCGUGUCAUCAGCAUGCGUUGAUUACGUCCCUGCCCUUUGUACACACCGCCCGUCGCUACUACCGAUUGAAUGGCUCAGUGAGGCCUCCGGACUGGCUUAGGGAGGUUGGCAACGACCACCCCGAGCCGAGAAGCUGGUCAAACUCGGUCAUUUAGAGGAAGUAAAAGUCGUAACA
rnacentral:rRNA from 1 species